rnacentral:rRNA from 1 species
GGGGAAUAUUGGACAAUGGGCGCAAGCCUGAUCCAGCCAUGCCGCGUGAGUGAUGAAGGUCUUAGGAUUGUAAAGCUCUUUCAGUGGGGACGAUAAUGACGGUACCCACAGAAGAAGCCCCGGCUAACUUCGUGCCAGCAGCCGCGGUAAUACGAAGGGGGCUAGCGUUGUUCGGAAUUACUGGGCGUAAAGCGCACGUAGGCGGAUAUUUAAGUCGGGGGUGAAAUCCCGGGGCUCAACCCCGGAACUGCCUUCGAUACUGGGUAUCUUGAGUUCGGAAGAGGUGAGUGGAAUUGCGAGUGUAGAGGUGAAAUUCGUAGAUAUUCGCAGGAACACCAGUGGCGAAGGCGGCUCACUGGUCCGAUACUGACGCUGAGGUGCGAAAGCGUGGGGAGCAAAC